CCUACGGGAGGCAGCAGUGGGGAAUAUUGCACAAUGGGCGCAAGCCUGACCCAGCAACGCCGCGUGAGUGAUGAAGGCUUUCGGGUUGUAAAGCUCUUUUUUCAGGGACGAUACUGACGGUACUCGCUGAGGAAUCCACGGCUACUUACGUGCCAGCAGCCGCGGUAAUACGUAGGUGGCGAGCGUUGUCCGGAUUAACUGGGCGUUAUGGGGGCGUAGGCGGAGUUUUAAGUGAGAUGUGAAAGACUCGGGCUCAACUUGAGUGCUGCAUUUGAAACCGGAGGUCUUGAGUACUGGAGAGGAAGAUGGAAUUCCUAGUGUAGCGGUGAAAUGCGUAGAGAUUAGGAAGAACACCAGUGGCGAAGGCGGUUCGCUGGACUGUAACUGACGCUGAGGCUCGAAAGCGUGGGGAGCAAACAGGAUUAGAUACCCGGGUAGUC
rnacentral:rRNA from 1 species